rnacentral:rRNA from 1 species
AGCGAACGCUGGCGGCAGGCUUAACACAUGCAAGUCGAACGCCCCGCAAGGGGAGUGGCAGACGGGUGAGUAACGCGUGGGAAUCUACCCAUCCCUACGGAACAACUCCGGGAAACUGGAGCUAAUACCGUAUACGCCCUUAGGGGGAAAGAUUUAUCGGGGAUGGAUGAGCCCGCGUUGGAUUAGCUAGUUGGUGGGGUAAAGGCCUACCAAGGCGAGGAUCCAUAGCUGGUCUGAGAGGAUGAUCAGCCACAUUGGGACUGAGACACGGCCCAAACUCCUACGGGAGGCAGCAGUGGGGAAUAUUGGACAAUGGGCGCAAGCCUGAUCCAGCCAUGCCGCGUGAGUGAUGAAGGCCUUAGGGUUGUAAAGCUCUUUCACCGGAGAAGAUAAUGACGGUAUCCGGAGAAGAAGCCCCGGCUAACUUCGUGCCAGCCGCCGCGGUAAGAC